UCCCUGGUGGUCCAAUGGUUAAGACUCUACACUACCAAUGCAGGGGACCUGGUUCGAUCCCUGGUUGGGGAA